rnacentral:lncRNA from 7 species
AUGGCAAAUGUAUCUUUUAUUCAGCAGCCUUAUGUUACAUGUGUUGGAUGAAGGAGGGGAAAGCUGCGAGUCUGAUAAUUUAACACCUUGCAAAAGAAAAAUGUCUGUAGCAAUUACUUUCAGUCUUCUCCAGUCUUCUUACGUUGUUGCCACUAUCAUUUAAUCUCUCUUUGCACUCGUGGUUCUCUUGACAGAUGCCACUGAUUUCAUCUCUCCUCCUACUAAGCUCAGCAUAUUUCCUGAAGUAGAUUAAAAUGAGAAGCCCAUUUCCUAGACUCAUCAAGUAUUACAUCUGCACCUGAAGUCCCAAAAGUUUUAAGUGUCAUCAUUAUGCAUCAAAGAAAGGCCCUGACAAUCACCACCAACUAAUAAGAAUUUGUAUGGACAUCUUGGCUACACCUGGCUACACCUUUUGAAGUAUAUAACUCACAUACAUCUGAAAAUUCAAGUUUGCACUUCCACUAUUGUAGCAUAGCUGGUAAAAGACAUUAGCUGAUAGAUGUAUAGAAAAUGGGCAGAUAGAUAACAGCUUUGUUAAGGUCUGAGACCUCCCAUAGACCUUUCCAUUCCACUGUUGCCAACAUUUUAGAUCUCAGACAGAUUAGUAAGUCUGAAUCUAAUGAGAAGAAAAAAACAGUGAAUAGCAUUAUGCUCAUUGUCAAAUUCAGUAGAGAAUAUAGCAGUGCUACAGUUAACUAAGUUAACUAGUUACAGUUAACUAACUCAUGAGAGCACAUAGCAAUUAUUUUUGAAUUUAGGCAUAUAUCAGUGCCUGAGUAGCUGCACUGAUUUUUCACAGACCUGAGAAAUAUCUGUAGUUUCAACCGGUGCUUUUAUUUGGAUCUAAGCAAUAUGAAUAGCUCAGAAGGUUUGAUGCUCCCUAAUUUGCAAGUGUAUUCAGUAGUUUUGAUUUUAAGUCACUAUCUCAAGUAAAAAGGCAACUAAAUAAAUAUUGGGAAAAAGCAAGAAUCACAGUCAGUAAGAAACUGUAAAAUAAAAGAUCUAAAAAGAUCUAAAAAUCCUGUCCCAGUUCAUCUCUGUGUCAAAUAAAUAUUUUAUAUCUUUGCUCUUCACAACUUUUGUUGGUAUAUCUAUACGACUGAGAUUUUAGGACACUUCCGUGGUCCUCGUUACCUCAAAGAUGAUUCUGAAUCCUUCCGACGCGUGACUCUUAAAUACUUUCUGAUUCUUCCUACAGCACCAAAUUCAAGCAGUUGUUGUAUCUUCCUUCAUCUGUCUCCUCGUGUCACCAUGUCUACAGUACAAUCUGCAGUGCACAGUUUGCAGAUACCAAAUGAGGUUCUGUUUCCUUAAUGGAGAAGAGUCAGAUUUGUACACAU